rnacentral:lncRNA from 1 species
GAAUUUCUUAACUGGCCAACACUGCUCCAUAGAAUAUAGCUGGUCAGAUUGCCACUUAUUUCACAUAAAACUCCCAAAGCGAGCCUCCAUUUCAACCAUAUUUCCCCAAUACAAUGCGUGGCAUCCUCGUUAAUUUCACUAUUACCCCAACUUAUAAACCUCAAAUACUUGAAACACUCCCUCUUCUGAAUGGCCUGAGAGUCCAUCCAGCUUCACGACCAC